ensembl:misc_RNA Metazoa_SRP Metazoan signal recognition particle RNA
GCUGAGUGGGGUGGCAUGCCUCUGUUGUCCUAGGUACUCUGGAGGCCAAGGAAGGAGGACCAUGAGAGCUCAGGCAUUCUGGGCUGCAGUGUGCUAUGCCAAUCAGGUGUCUGCACUAAUUUUGAUAUCAAUAUGGUGACCUCCCUGGAGCCAGGGACCACCAGGUUGCCUAAAGAGGGGUGAACCAGCCUAGUUGGGAAAUGGAGCAAGUCAAUACUCCUGUGCUGAUCAGUAGUGGGAUCGAGCCUGUGAAUUGCCACUGCACUCCAGCCUAAGCAGCACUGCAAGACCAGUCUCUU